rnacentral:lncRNA from 1 species
AGAGAUGUCUGGGCCUUGACCAAUGAGAUCUUCAGGAGUACUUCAGCAGCUGUUUCGGAUUUUUCUCUGUGGAUGUCCUCAUGGGACUAAGUGGAAAUUGGAAAAGUAUCAUCAAACUCUUCUUGAGAUUCCUUUUUGAUAAGGAAGAUUGCAGAAAAAUUUGUGGCUGAAGAGGAUGCACUGAGAAGAAAGAUAACUGCCCUUAUUCUAAAUCCCAAUCUUCAAUCAAGUACUAAGAUGGUCUGCACUUUGCCUACUGCCCUGCUGGGAAAAUGCACUGACCAGUCAUCAGCAAAUUCUAGCCCAUUCAGCAGGUUGAAAAGCUACUGACCAGGAAGGUCAUUUCCAGCAUUUCCCAUAGCUUCAAGAUUACUAGUACAGACGCAGAAGGUAAUGUAAAACAAAGCCACUUAAUCCGGUGAAGUUUUCUUGUGACAGGGUCCCUUUAAAGACUAUUAUCCUGAUUUCCAUCCACCCUUUGAUAGAAUCAAUGUGUACUAGAUUUAAGCAGAAUCCUGUAAAUAUCCUCCCUAUUUAUAUCUUUAACAUAAAACAGCCUAAGUGGCACAUGACAGGUGAGGAGAACAGCACUAUGUUGUAGGCUAAGCAGACCCAAAGCCACUCACUCACUCACUCAGCCAGCCAAACAAGGUCCCUUCAGAGGGGCUUUCACAGACAUGCAUCUACUGACCACUCCUGAGUAAUAAUCUAUUCUCUGCUAGUAAACAGUGCAGAUGUAUUUUAAUAAGAGGAUUGCGGCCUGGCACGCUGGCUCAUGCCUGUAAUUCCAGCACUUUGGGAGGCCGAGGCAGGCGGAUCACGAGGUCAGGAGAUCGAGACCAUCCUGGCUAACACAGUGAAACCCCGUCUCUACUAAAAAUACAAAAAAUUAGCUGGGCAUGGUGGCAGGCGCCUGUAGCCCCAGCUACUCGAGAGGCUGAGGCAGAAGAAUGGCCUGAACCCAGGAGGCGGAGCUUGCAGUGAGCUGAGAUCACGCCACUGCACUCCAGCCUGGGCAACAGAGCAAGACUCUGUCUCAAAAUAAAAUAAAAUAAAAUAAAAAAUUAAUAAGAGGAUUGCAACUUUGUGAUCUUUUUGAUUUUGGAGCAUUCGGAAACAAGAAUGGCCAUCCCACCACGACAGCAAUGUCAAGCCAGUAAGCCCUGACUUGCUUUUCAUAGCUGCCACCCCCAGGUAGGAGUCCUGGGAGCUGGUGAAGGACAGCUGCUCUGUGAGCUUCAAGGUCUUCUUUCAGAAUGCCAUUGUGAUUACAGAGCCUAUAAAAUAAAAAAGAUGCUGCAGGAGAUGCUUAUUUAAGCACAGAUCACCAGCUUCUAGAAUCUAUGAUGGUUCUUCAUGGUUUACUGAAAUAUAUCUGUAAUAUAAUCUGGACAUUAAAAUGCAGCAACUAUACUGUCUCUCAACAAAGACAUAAAAUGGGGCAGUUUGAAAAACUUGUUUGCGUGUAUGCGGCAAUUUUAAAUCCAUCAGAGGAAGUAACUUUUAACCCUUUGUUGACUUUAAUGAUGUUCAAAUCCACAGCUGGGCAAUCUCGUUCCACAUUCCACCUGAAUGACAGGUAUGCUAGAUAAUCUUAACAGCAGAAAAGGCUAAUUUUAUAUUGUCAAUCAUAACAAAGUUAGAUCCCCACAACUCGUAUGAAAUUUACUUAAAUUGUCACUGCUAAGAAAUUGAAAACUUCUGGCUGAAGUAUAGGUUACAUCCUCUAUUUCUGAAUGUAGAAAAAUGACUAUUAGUUUUCCAUUCAGAUCCUAUUGCAGUCAAAUUUUCUUUAUUCUUAAUCAGAAUAGGAAGGCAUGGAAAGAGGGAUUUAUCUUUUAUUAUCUAUAUCCAGUCUACUGAGUAAGUGAUAAGAGUCUAAAAAUUUGGUCACUGUUUUAGGUUAGGUCUGUCGUUGUAUCACAGUAGCCUUCAAAUAGAUUAGUUACCAUCUUUUAAAAAAUGACUAUUUUGAGGGAUGCAUGAUUCUAAAAAGCUAUAGGAGAAGACAAAACAGUGUUUCUACUUUAAAGGAGCUGUUCACAUUUGUAGUUGGGAAUAUUCAACACACACCCCAAAAAGAAAAUGAAGAUUAGUUACAAAGCAACUUAUAAAGCAAUAUGUUAAUUUGCAAGGUACUAAUUUGUAAAUAGCACUACAGUUGGUGAAGUUACUGGACCUAGUUGAUGGCUAUGUGCCUGAUGUGAUAAGGAUGAAGGAGAUGUGGUCCAUCUAUUGGAGGGUGAGUGACAACUGCAGACUCAGGCUUAGCCCUACUCUGAAGUGUACCUUUAUGCUGGGAAGGAAUAAUAACAGGCACACAAGAUUCAAGUGCUAUUCCUGACCCUUAUCCACACUGUUGGUGCUCCAGCUCCUUGCCAAUUCCCAGGCUUCUGUCUAAACUCUAAGCCUGGAUUCUCAGUUCUUGUAGGUCAGACCCCGAGUUGGGUCCUUCACUCCUGGGUUCUGCUGCCCCAAAGCUUCCAGACUUCAGGCCUAUCUGACUUAUAGUACCUAUGAAUACCUCUUAUUGCCUAGGCAAAAUCUGGAUCCUAAUUCUUCCUGGAAGCCUUUAUCUUGUCAUCACUCAAUUUCCAGAAUAACAGCUGCCCUUAAGAGGUCCCACCAAUGGUGAGCCAAUUUCAGAGUAGUAAAAGAGAGCCUGUAAUCAACGGUGAGAGGUAUAGGGCAGGCCAUCAGACAAUCAGGAAUUAUGAAGCGGUAAAGACACAGAGAGAUCACUGGAGUCUCAGGGGCUUCACUAAGGAGGAGGAACGUGAGCCAGGCAGGUUUUAGAGAGAAGGGGAGAUGACAUUUGAAACUAAGGAGAGACACAGGCAAAGGUGAUGGGAAAUGACAGGGUAAGAGUGGUGUGGGGACCAGCAAGGGAGACAAGUUUGGCUGGGUAGGGGUUGCUGUUGGUCAUAGUAGGAUAGCAAUGGAAAAUUAAAUUCAAUAUGAAACUCUGGAAAGAAUACAGCAAUAAGCUUGUGGAUUUCUGAGCCAUUGCUGGUUUCUCGAAAGCAGUGUUUUUCAGAGGGUUAGCCUGGCAGCCUUGCAAGGAUGGAGUUGGUGAGGAGAGAGACCUGAGGCCCAGAGACCAGUCAGGAGACUGACUUUGUGCUGUAGGUGGCAGAGGAAGAGCAGGUAAGUGGGUGAGGCAAGGGAGGAAGAAACAGUCCUUCAUCGCUCACCUGGGGAGCACUCAGCUGACUACAGGGAAGGUAACGGAGACCAUGCUGGCUGCUGGUGGGGUGGGGCUGUGGAGAGCUGGGGCCAGUGCCUCCAUCAAAAGCUCCCCCUGAGGAGUGUGUGUCCCAGUGAACCUAGAUCUUCUCAGUUUUUAAGAGAAGCUGGAAGUUUAUAAUUGCAAGUUUUGUUUUUAUUUAACAGCUCCCAAUUUUUAAAAUGUGGUGACUAAUUCAAAAGGUUGCCUACCCACUGACAGGACAAAGAGAACCUAUCUGCAGCCCAAGGUAGGCCUGCAGGCCACCAGCUUAUGAUCUCCAAGCUUAGAUUCCCUUUAGUCCCACUUCCCAAACCAGGAUGCAAACCUGGAGCAAGGACCAUGGCUUAAUGUUUUUGGAUAUCUUCUAAAAGGUUAGUACUGUGCAGUACUGGAAACUGGCUGACACUCCAUGGUGCUGGUGGAUGCUGCAGUGGGAGCAGGUUCCCUCCAUGGUAAGGUGUAUUUUAUCUUUGCCAUCCUUAGGAAUGGUGACAACAGAAGGCAGACUGACUUUUAGUGGUCUCGUUAUUGUUUUUAAAUUCUUCCAUAGAAUGCACCUACUUAUUACCUGCAUCUGCACUCCUCCGACAUCCCCUCACUACCACCAUGGCAUGCAUGCCAGUGCUCAGUAAUGCUUGAUUGUCCUGCCAGGACAAAUCCCAGAUAACCUUUCUUCUUUGCCGAUCUUAUCAAUAUAAGUGUCAGGCUUACUUAGACUAGCUCAUCUCAUCACCCUCUAGAAGCUUCCCUGACUACCUUACUCAUAGGGAUCUUUCUUACCCCUGAAUUCUUUAGCACAAAAGAGACACCAUCUUACCUCUUACCUUGUGCUAUUCCAUAGUUAAGUCACCUCUGCCGAGUCUUCUCAACAAGAGCAAAAGCCUGGUGAGAAUAGCAACUGCACUUCUAAAUUUUUUACUUUUAUUUCUCAUAGCAUUCGGCACAAUGCUGAGCAUACAACUUAAUGAUACUACAUGUCAAAUGACAAGCUGAAACUUAAACCCAGAUGAAAGAAAUUCAUAUGACACACUUAUCUUUACAGUAUUUUUUUUUUUUUAAUAAAAAUGAGAUGGGGUCUUGCUUUGUUGCCCAGGCUGGUCUCAAACUCUUGAGCUCAAGCAAUCCUCCCACCUUGGCCUCCCAAAGUUCUGCGAUUACAGACAUGAGCCACCACACCUGGCUGACAGUAUUUUUAUAAUGGUUGUUGUUACACCAGUCCAGGGUUUCCCCCUUGGUACUGGGUGAUCAAUCAGCUGGCCACAAGCACUAUGCACAGAGCUUAUGAUCUACUCUAACUCAGAACUUUCUCGGACUAAAAGAUGAGCUGGUUUAUGCUGAGGAUUUCUAACAGUGCUCUUCCCAGAUAGCAGACUUUAGUUUAUAAAAUAUUCAUCAGUUCUUUUGCUCAAAAGAACUCAACUAAAGAAUUCAAACGCUGUAUGGAAUUAAAUAUUAAAGACUAUGUGUUAUAGAAACACUGUAACUAUUUUAGAACUCAAGACCUCAAUUCCUUUUUCUAUGUGCGUUCCUGCCAAAAUCAUUCCAGCUAGAAGGGCACUGGCCUGAGGAACCUGUGUCCAGUCUCUGGCACCAACAUGCUAGCCCUACCAUCACCUUGUUCUCUGUGAGGUCUGGCAGGUGGAGGAACCUGCUGAAUGACAAGUAACUUGUGGACACAAAUGGCACUUUAAAGAUGCAUAGCUUAUCUUAUCCAACGACAGUUAAAGCACAUAAUAAAUGUAAAAAAUUUGGCCAAAUUAAAAAUAAUUGCUUUCUAGCUUCAUUUUCAGUCACACAGGAUUUAGGAGACAACUCCACUCCAGGCUAUUGGGAACACUGAAAUUAAGGGCUUUUGUGACUUUGGUUCCCUGUGAGCAAGAUGAUCUGCAAGUGGCGACAUGAACUGAUUACCAAUCACUGACUUCAGGAGGAAGCAAGUUCUGGAGGCUGGGAAGUCCAAGAUCAAGGCAGGCGCCAGCAGACUCUGGGUCUGACAAGGGAAUGAGAAGCAGCAAGUUAAAUGCAGAACAGAAAUGAAGCUGUUAGACCAAAUUUUCAGCUUCUCACAUGGCACCUCUAUCUGUGAAUACGAUUUUCUCACUUGUUAGAGCCUCUGUCACAUAAUACACUUGCCACAGAAUACUGCCACAGAGAAGAGCAAAGGAAGACAGCUGGCUAGCCAAAUGUCCCCACAAUGGAAUAGUGCCUGAAAGACCCAUGGGGGAGCUGUCCAUCAGAGCCACACUCCCCACCAGCUCCUUGGAAGGCACCCCCAAAAGCAGGAGUGGAGAGUCCAAAUGUCAUCUGCCCUCGAACACCACAUGAAAUGGGGAGUACCCUUCACUCAGAGAGCAGCCCACCCCUCUUCCUCCUUUCAGGGAGGGUUACCACAGUGGAAGUGAAGCUCCUCAACAAGCCUUCAGCUCUGUGAUGAAAUUCCCUGGUCCUCCACACCUAUCCAUCCCUGACAGAGUAUGAUCAGUUUGCUUCUAUUUCUAGUAGAAUAUAUUUCACAGCAUAAUAGUUCAAAGAAACCUUACAACCCUA